rnacentral:pre_miRNA from 1 species
GUGAGCGAGCGCGGCGGGGCGCUGGCGGGCGGCGGCGGCCGGGCGCGGAGGGGCCGGGAAUGGCGCGCCCUGCGCGGCCGGCGUAACUGCGGCGCC